rnacentral:rRNA from 1 species
UACAGAGGUCUCGAGCGUUAAUCGGAGUCACUGGGCUUAAAGGGUGCGUAGGCGGACCUGUAAGUGCCUUGUGAAAUCCCAUGGCUCAACCAUGGAAUUGCUUGGUAGACUGCAGGUCUUGAGGUCGGUAGGGGCUGCUGGAACUCUAGGUGGAGCGGUGAAAUGCGUAGAUAUCUAGAGGAACGCCGAAGGUGAAGACAGGCAGCUGGGCCGAUUCUGACGCUGAGGCACGAAAGCGUGGGGAGCAAAC